ACGGUACCUGCAGAAGAAGCACCGGCUAACUACGUGCCAGCAGCCGCGGUAAUACGUAGGGUGCGAGCGUGUCCGGAAUUAUUGGGCGUAAAGGGCUUGUAGGCGGUUUGUCGCGUCUGCUGUGAAAAUCCGAGGCUCAACCUCGGACUUGCAGUGGGUACGGGCAGACUAGAGUGUGGUAGGGGAGACUGGAAUUCCUGGUGUAGCGGUGAAAUGCGCAGAUAUCAGGAGGAACACCGAUGGCGAAGGCAGGUCUCUGGGCCACUACUGACGCUGAGAAGCGAAAGCAUGGGGAGCGAACAGGAUUAGAUACCCUGGUAGUCCAUGCCGUAAACGUUGGGCGCUAGGUGUGGGACUCAUUCCACGAGUUCCGUGCCGCAGCUAACGCAUUAAGCGCCCCGCCUGGGGAGUACGGCCGCAAGGCUAAAACUCAAAGGAAUUGACGGGGGCCCGCACAAGCGGCGGAGCAUGCGGAUUAAUUCGAUGCAACGCGAAGAACCUUACCAAGGCUUGACAUAUACCGGUAACACCCAGAGAUGGGUGCCCCUUUUUGGUCGGUAUACAGGUGGUGCAUGGUUGUCGUCAGCUCGUGUCGUGAGAUGUUGGGUUAAGUCCCGCAACGAGCGCAACCCUCGUUCUAUGUUGCCAGCACGUAAUGGUGGGGACUCAUGGAAGACUGCCGGGGUCAACUCGGAGGAAGGUGGGGAUGACGUCAAAUCAUCAUGCCCCUUAUGUCUUGGGCUUCACGCAUGCUACAAUGGCCGGUACAAUGGGCUGCGAAACCGCAAGGUGGAGCGAAUCCCAAAAAACCGGUCUCAGUUCGGAUUGGGGUCUGCAACUCGACCCCAUGAAGUCGGAGUCGCUAGUAAUCGCAGAUCAGCAACGCUGCGGUGAAUACGUUCCCGGGCCUUGUACACACCGCCCGUCAAGUUUUAAAAGUUAAAACACCCGAAGCCGGUGGCCCAACCCUUUAACAUGUUUAAAAAUUGAACAGGCU
rnacentral:rRNA from 1 species